rnacentral:rRNA from 1 species
UACGUAGGGCGCAAGCGUUGUCCGGAAUUAUUGGGCGUAAAGAGCUCGUAGGCGGUCUGUCGCGUCCGUUGUGAAAACUCGAGGCUCAACCUCGGGCUUGCAGUGGAUACGGGCAGACUAGAGUGCGGUAGGGGAGAUUGGAAUCCUGGUGUAGCGGUGGAAUGCGCAGAUAUCAGGAGGAACACCGAUGGCGAAGGCAGAUCUCUGGGCCGUAACUGACGCUGAGGAGCGAAAGCAUGGGGAGCGAACAGG